UACGUAGGGUGCGAGCGUUGUCCGGAAUUAUUGGGCGUAAAGGGCUCGUAGGCGGUUUGUUGCGUCAGGAGUGAAAACUCGGGGCUUAACCCCGAGCCUGCUUCUGAUACGGGCAGACUAGAGGUAUGCAGGGGAGAACGGAAUUCCUGGUGUAGCGGUGAAAUGCGUAGAUAUCUGGAGGAACACCGGUGGCGAAGGCGGCAUUCUGGACCGAUAUUGACGCUGAGGAGCGAAAGCCAGGGGAGCAAACGGG
rnacentral:rRNA from 1 species